rnacentral:rRNA from 1 species
GCGUGAGUGAGGAAGGCCUUAGGGUUGUAAAGCUCUUUCGCGCGCGACGAUGAUGACGGUAGCGCGAGAAGAAGCCCCGGCUAACUUCGUGCCAGCAGCCGCGGUAAUACGAAGGGGGCGAGCGUUGUUCGGAUUUACUGGGCGUAAAGGGCGCGCAGGCGGCGCAAGAAGUCAGGCGUGAAAGCCCCGGGCUCAACCUGGGAGGUGCGUCUGGGACUCUUGUGCUAGAGUUCGGGAGAGGAGCGUGGAAUUCCCAGUGUAGAGGUGAAAUUCGU